AUGUCACCGUCCAUCGCCCGGUGGUGCAGUGCGGCGCGCCCUUGCCUCCCGUCCGGCGCAAACUUCCCUCUACGCCACCUCGACCUUCCCUCCCCUUCGGUGCAGCCUGCCCUCUGCUCCGGCGCACCCACCUACUCCUCCUCCACGUGCGGCAUGAACCUGGCCUUCGACCGCGAGCUCAUCGGCCCGCCCAUAUACUUCGGCCUCAUGGGCGACGGCCAGCCCAUCGGACGCUACGACGACAUGUGGCCGAUUGGUGAUCUGCGACCACCUUGGGCUAGGAGUCAAGACGGGGCUGCCCUACAUCUGGCACAGCAAGGCCAGCAACCCGUUCGUGAACCUGAAGGAGUACAUGGGCAUCUUCUGGCAGGAGGACAUCAUCCCCUUCUUCUAGGUCGCGAAGCUGACAAGGAAUGCGACACCGUGCAGAAGUGCUACAUCUCGCUCUCGCAGCAGGUCAAGGAGAAGCUCGGCAAGAUCGACCCCUACUUCAUCAAGCUCGCCGACGCCAUGGUCAUCUGGAUCGAGGCCCAGGACAUGCUCAACUCCAAGGACUCCAAGGAGGCCGACGCCAACGGCAAGCUCAAGGGGAAGUAG
rnacentral:rRNA from 1 species